GAUGAACGCUGACAGCAUGCUUAACACAUGCAAGUCAACUGUGGCGGACGGGUGAGUAACGCGUAAAGAACUUGCCUCACAGCUAGCGCCAACACUUGGAAACGAAUGCUAAUACCUGAUACUGUGAGAGAGCUUUGCGUCCAAUUAGCUAGUUGGAGAGGUAACGGCUCACCAAGGCGAGGCUGGGUAGCCGGCCUGAGAGGGUGAUCGGCCACAAGGGGACGGAGACACGGCCCUUACUCCUACGGGAGGAAGCAGGGGGGAAUAUGCGACAAGGGACCAAAGUCUGAUCCAGAAAUGGUGUGUGGACGAUGAAGUUUUCGGAAUGUAAAGGGUUUUCAGUUGGGAAGCAGUACCAACAGAAGAAGUGACGGCUAAAUACGUGCCAGCAGCCGCGGUAAUAC
rnacentral:rRNA from 1 species